AGAACAUGCUUAAGAAUCAUGCUGGCCCUGUGAUGGGCCUUCAUAGAACUUCGAGGAGCUGGUGUGACUUGGAGGGCAGCUGUUCUGGUGCUGUUCUGCUGUAUGAGAAAUCCUGUUUGGUGAGAAGAUGUCAGAGCUGCCCUUGGCAUGAAGCUGCUGGGUGUCCAGAUUACCAUGGGGUUUAUUACCUGGGGACUGAGUUGAACUGAGGAGCAGCUGAACUAUGCAACUAGUAAAGACAAAUUUCCUGGGACUCUGCAAAGUCCUGUGUGAUGUCUCAAAAGUGUGUUUAAAGUCAGUGUGCCAAUUUAGCUUAUUUGAUAUGAAGUCCUGGUACUUCAGAAUGAUUGUAUCUUUGAUGUAAAGUUCUGUUUGAUCUGGAUAUUUUCUCUUUCUUUGGACGUUUAUUUACAAUCAAAUGUAAAACUACAACUGCUUUUGUCUUUGAAAAACUUUAAUGUCUUCUCAGAACCAAAUUCUAUGACAGCUGUAUCAUGCAGAGAAAUAUCACUACACAUGAGUUCAUGAUGACUAAAUAUGCACUGAUUUUUAUCCAUGUCAGCUUCCAGUUAGUGAAACCCAUCAUGUUACCCCUUUGCCAACUAAAAGUACUGUCAGGCACAGUGCUCAUGUGCUGAAACCUUGUUAUCUUUGGGAAACUUGGUACUACAUGACCUUGUCCAAAGGUGUAUACAGGAACAGCACUGUAGUUGCUAGCACUAAAACAGCUCUAUCUUCAAGAUGCGAGUGGCCAAUUUAAAAACAACUGUGGUGGCAGUCGGUGGUGCCCAGCUGCAGUAACUGCCUGGUCUCCUAAAAGAUCAAGGCCUGUACUGGUGCUGCAGCUGCCUUUAAUCAAAUAAUCAAAAGCUGACUAGUCUGUCCAGGCUGGGGUUGAAAGUCCAGAAGCAGCAUGUGGGGCUUGAUUUUACUUCUUGGUGAAAAAGACCCUAGGAAUUCCUGUUGCAUUAAUGUGUUCUUUUUUUUUUUUUUUUUAAAUCCAAAUGGCAAAACAAUUCAGCAAAUGGAAUCUUUACAGCUGAGAGAUUGAGUAACAAGGGAAAGAAAAUGUCAAUGCAAGUUAAAGCAAAUUUAAUAAAGCAAAUAAAAGCAAUAUACUGACA
rnacentral:lncRNA from 1 species